UACGGAGGGUGCAAGCGUUAUCCGGAUUUACUGGGCUUAAAGGGUGCGUAGGUGGGUAGGAAAGUCAGUGGUGAAAUCUUCGGGCUUAACCCGGAAACUGCCAUUGAUACUAUUUAUCUUGAAUACUUUGGAGGUAAGCGGAAUAUGUCAUGUAGCGGUGAAAUGCUUAGAUAUGACAUAGAACACCAAUUGCGAGGGCAGCUUGCUACACAGUUAUUGACACUGAGGCACGAAAGCGUGGGGAUCAAACAGG
rnacentral:rRNA from 1 species